UGGACUACACCACAAGGUUUUCACACCGUAAAAACGAAUUUUCCUCCAAAUUGCUGGUUUUAUCAAUACUUCACUAUUUGCAUUAUAAAACUAUAAUCCAAAUGAAGAAUUAAAACGAUCAGAGACCAAGAACACAACCUCAACUGUAACAAAUCACAAAAUAAAUCUUAUCAACUAUUUGUAAUGCCAUUGUUGCAAUUUUUCUUUAAUAGGAAGUUAAUUUGAUCCACAAAAGAAUAACGCACGGCUUAAUGUUUAUUUACAUUUUUGAAAAUUACAAGAGCUUCGAUAACAAUGAGCACAAAAGCAACAAAUGCCGCCAGCGUGCUAAUUGGCGCCAGUGCUAUUUUUCAUAAGCGCGAUUAUCAAAGAAAAUAUGAAUAAUGAAGUCAAUGUUUUUUUAUUAAACAACAAUAAUAACAUGGAUCAUUUUUUUUAACUAGACUUACCAGUAUGGGGUGAUCAGAGCAUCACUUCCAAAUACUAAAAGAAUUUUUUUAUCGUUAUGACUUUAUGAUUUGUUUUUCGCGCUUACGAAAAAUAGCAUAGGCGCCAGCUAGCGCGCUAGCGGCAUUUGUUGCUUUCAUGCUUAUUGUUGUUGAAGUUCUUGUUUCAACAACCUGUGGAUUAAAUUAACUUCCUAUUAAAGAAAAAUUGCAAUAAUGGUACUAUAAAUGGUUGAUAAGAUUUUAUUUUGUGAUUUGUUACAAUAGUUUUAUAAUGCAAGUAUUGAAAUAUUGAUAAAAACAGCGAUUUGGAGGGAAAAUCGUUUUCUGGUGGUGUGGCAUCAGAUCAAGUUGUGAUGCCGGGACGGCUACCGCUAGCCAAUGUUGUUCCUGACAUUACAAUUGUAAUGAUUCCAUUACAAUUUAUUUAUUGUCAUUACGCCAUUACUACAAUUUUACAAUUACUUGAUUUCAUUACAAAUUUGCCUUAUCAAUUUUCUGAUAAAUAAAUUCCCAUUACGGUAUUCAAAUUCUCUCAAGAGUUUUUAAUUAUUUGUGGUUGGUGGUACAUUCACCCAUGUUGGCAGAAUAUGUUUCGACAAUCUACAUUUGACACCACACACUACACUGUUGACAGAUGACCAGAUGACAGCAUUGACAACAUUGACAGCCCGAGCUUAAGCUUAGUAGGUCACAUCCACAGGCACCACAGGCCAUAAGUUGUUAGUUUGUUAGUUGUGUCCUCAGAGCCAUGUGACUCCUGUACCUUGAUCUCAUGUUUGAUUUGAAUUAAAAUAUAUUGCAGUUUUUGACGGUUACCGGUUAGGCUAGAGUGAACAGUGAAGUGGUGAAUCUUAUGGUUUGAAAAUGGACAAGUAUGUAUUAGAAAUCAGUUUUGAAUUGUUAACUUAGUAUUUUCUAACUUCUUUAGAUUUGUAAUUCGUGACUUAUCUCGGAAUACUGUGCCCGCCACAAUUUCAGCACCCGUUCCUAGUGUUGCCACUGUUGCCACUGAUUCAGGUUCAGAACCAGAGGAAGAAACUUACAACGACAGCCAUGAAGGUGUUCUAUUGAAACGAAAGAAGCGUAUACGAAAUGUUUUUAAACAGAAAUUUAAAAAAUCAUGGAUAACCAAAGACAAUAAAAAAUGGUUGACAGAAAUACCUGCCACAGGGCAAGCACAGUGUAAUGUUUGCAAUAAAACUUUGGUUGGAGGAAUUACUCACAUAAAUAGACAUGGCAAUAGUAGAAGUCACAUUAAAAAAAUAAAAUGUUUAGGAGCAACUCCACAAAUCGCUACCUUGAUGACAGAAACAACAGAAAAGAAACGAUUAAAAGAUGGCGUUAAGCAAGCUGAAAUUAAGAUGAUCAUGUUUCUAGCAGAACAUAACCUUCCAUUUCGUUUACUUGAACAUUUACCUAAAUUUCUAGCCUCAGUGUGUUAUGAUUCAGAAAUUGCUAAACAUUUACAGUGUAGCCGUAAAAAAGGUACAAAAAUAUGCACUGAAAUAACUGGUCCAGCACAUUUACGUCAGGUAUCAGAAGAAUUAAAAAGCAAUUAGUUUUCUUUAAUAUUGGAUGAAACCACAGACAUUUCCACCCAAAAAUGUUUAACAGUUUUAGCUCGAUACUACAGUGGAGAUGUCAUAAAAGAUGAAUAUUGAGGGCUAAUUCCGGUUGAAAAUGGUACAGCUGAAUCAUUAUAUACUGCAACGAAGGGACUAUUAGAACAAAAUAAUAUACCACUUACAAAAAUGAUCGGAUUUGCAGCAGACAAUGCUUCGAUAUGUUUGCUCUGGGAUGUGUGUGCCAUUCUCUAACUCUUUGUUCUGGAGCAGCUUGUAAGAAGUUACCUACAUCAAUAGAAAAAUUAGCUAGAGAUAUUGUUUCUUAUUUUGCACACAGCUCGAAAUGACAACAUGAAUUAAAGGAAUAUCAGUGUUUUGUUGAUGUGAGCCAACAUAAACUGUUAAAAUUAAGUAAUACUAGGUGGCUUUCACUACAAGCUGUUGUAGACCGUAUUAUUGAACAGUGGCAGUCUUUGACGAUGUUUUUUACAAAUGAGGUUUAUGAUAAAAGUUGUCUUGUUAAUCCUGAGCAGAUACUUUCUGCUUUACAAAAUCCUGUAUUCAAAUUAUACUUUACAUUUCUAUCAUAUAUUCUUGAUGUAGUGAAUACCAUGAAUUUAGAAUUUCAAGGUGAAUCGCCAAAGCUACAUUUAUUACAUAGUAGGAUCACUGGUCUAUUUAAAUCAAUACUGAAAAAUUUUAUGAAACCCCAAUAUUUAAGUAAUCUGACUAUGUAUAAUAAAAUACAGUUCCUUCCUCAUAACUACAAAACAUUGGAUAAUAUUUAUUGCGGAGCAAAUUGUGAAUUAAUUAUUAAUAGUACACCCAUCAACAAGACUGAAAUAGAUAGCUUUAAAAUAAAAUGUUUAGACUUCUAUGUUGAAUUAAGUAAACAAAUAUUAUCAAGAUUUAAUUUUGAUGACAAUGUAUUGAAAUUUAUGCAAAACUUUGACCCUGCUGUGGCUGUGUCUGGUGUAUGCGAGACCCUAGUUCCUCUUGCUAGUAGAUUUCCUACAUUAGUCACUAAUUUAGAGAAACUCAAUUCAGAAUGGAGACUCUUAUCUGAUAUGUCUGAAAUUAAAAUGAACAGUUCCAAGUCUCUAGUAGACUUUUGGAAUUACGUUUUCAACAUAAAAAACGGACUGAAUGAAUAUAUGUUCCCUCAUUUGACAAAUUUUGUUAAAGGGUUGUUGUGUUUACCACACUCCUCCGCUGCGGCAGAGAGAAUAUUCUCUCAAUUAUCUUUAAUAAAAACCAAAAAUAGAAAUAAACUUAAUAUUUUUACUUGUAAUUAUUUACUACAUACAAAAUAUCUUUUGAAAGACAAGUGCUGUUUUAAUUUUGAACCUUUAAAAUCGCUGAUGUCAAGAAAUUUAGCCUUAGAUUCAGACAGCCAAAUGGUUUGUGAUUCUGAUGAAAUUACAUUUUAACAAUGUUAACUGUUGAAUUCUUUAAAAUGGAGUUACAGUCGAUGAAACGGUUCUCGUACGAAUUAACUUGCUUAAAGUUGUUUAAAAAGUAGCGUCUUACGCUGUAACUCCGGCUUUAAUUAUAUUAAAAUAGUAGAAGUAUACUAAAUAAUCAAAAUUCCUUCUAUCAAGCAGCUUUAUGUAAGGUGAUGAGAUUGGGUAACAUAAUUAUGUGCAAUUUUGUAGAUUGCUUGGUGGAAAGUCUUUUGAUCGAUCGUUUUUUUUUCUUUUUUGUUAUGUUUUGUUAAAAAUAGGAUUACCUAUGUUUUGUUUUGUUAAAAAUAGGAUUACCUGUUUUGUUUUGUUAAAAAUAGGAUUUUUUUAUGUUAGACAGAAUAAAUGAUUUUCAAAAGAUUUUAAUGUUUUUAUUUAAUUCUUAUUUUCAAAUGUCCCGCAUUCAUUACCAACCAUUACAAUUUGAUAGUUACUUUCGUUACAAAAUUUUUCUAGUUAGGAACAACACUGCCGCUAGC